AUUAUUUUCCCGAGCGGUUAAAGUACCUGUGAAGCCCGACAUGAUGAACGAGAAGCCACGAGAUAAGAAUCACUGAAGAAAUUUAAGAGGAGCAAACGUUGAAAAUAAACGGUAUUUGGACAGGCAAACAGAAAAAAAUGGGCCCAACGCGCACACACUGAGGAGGGAAACAACGAAAUCGACUCGCAUGAAUGGCGGACGCGCACACUGGGUUUUACGUUAUUGCGCUUGCGCACAUUUUAUUAAUAGAUCUUUAGUAUGUCGUCACUUUAGACCAAUCGCUGUCUGUUUUUUCCGUUCAUACUUGCUUAUAAUGCGAAGCUGCUACGAUAUAUUUGCGUGUAGUGCUGUAUUAUAUCACCUUUCCGGAAACGCUCAUUCUGUUAUCAGACUCAAAUUCUCUCGUAAAAAGUAAACACCAAAAUUGUAUUCAUGCUUUUUUUCGAUAAACCAGAAAACCAUUCGCUGUCACUGCGCUCUUCUCCUUCCCGCUAUUUUAUUUCUGAGCUCGAGAAUUCAACUUUUCGUUUUCCCGCCAACUAAUCAGUUAUAUGAUCGUUUC